ensembl:lncRNA
GCCUCAUGCUGUUUGCAUCAAGCUUUUGAAUCUGCCUGGUGAUUGGGGUAACCAUGGUCCUGGGCUGAGAUCCUGGAGGCCUGAGCUUCCGGGGGUCUUACAUAGAGGCUUGGUGAUAAAGUGCUUACCUAGCAAUGGUAAGGGCCUGGAUUCAGUCCCAGCAUCAGAAAGAGGGGGGCAGGGGGCAGGAAACAGAACAAAACCAAGUUGGUGGUUUAGGAUAGGGCUCACCGAUGGAGCCAGGAAUCUACAUCUUGUGGUAGAAAUUCAAAACUCAAUGACUGUGUGGCCAUUAAUAACUGGGGAAGGAGAAACACAUUUCUUUUUCUUACAUGAUGCAAUGACCAUGAGUGGCACAAGCUGUGCUGUAGCAAGGCCCCUCCUUAGCCCCACCACAGGAUUUCCCACAGAGUCUAUGUUUCCCAUGCAAGCACGUGCAAGCACAGACUCUGUGAGCUAGUGUUUCCCAAACUUCGGAGAAGCACCCAUUGUUUAACCUGUUAUUUUAUCUAAACCUACUCACCUUGCCUUCCAGCUGGAAAGCUCCUUGGUGAGUCUGUCCCCUUGUACCAUUGAGCCAUAAUCAGCCCUCUCUUUACUGUUUGUUUGUUUGUUUUUUAAGAGACAGAGUCUUAUGUGUCCUGGGAUGGCCACGAACUUACUGUGUAACUGAGGAUGAUCUUGAACUUCCGGGUCCUCUUGCCUGUACCUCCCAAGUGCUGGGGUUACAGGCAUGUGCCCCCAUACCCAGCUAAUCCUUUGCUGAGGAUCAAAUCAUUGCUUUGCACAAGGGAACUUUACAGGAGUGAACCGGCCCCAUCAGCAUCCCUGGAAACGUGUUUGAAAUACAAAUUCUCCGGCCACCAGCCAGGCCGCUGAACUGAAUGGCCAAACCAGUGUUUAGCAAGUUCCGGGCUACUGUGAUGUAGACUGAAGUUUGAGACAAUUUAGAAACCGACUUCGAGGCUGGGGAUAUAGCUAAGUACCUCACAAACCUAACCCUUUUCGAGUUCCCCUCCACCACACACACACACACUCUGCAAAGGGCCGCAGCUUGAGAACGUAGGAUGUGGAACCUCAGCACCGAGAAUACAUUUAGACACUACAACCCACCCCACCUCCCAGCCUCCAACAGGAGCCUCUUGCUUCCAGGACGACUUUGACGCCAUUCAACUCUGCGCAGCCCUUACUUUGGCAUUACAGAUGGGUACAAAGCUGGGGCCUGUUUCCUCAUUAUCUGCUGGAUGAAUGCUUGGAUGGUGUCCCACUGCCCAGUCGCUCUUGGAAACCCGACAUGCAAGCCUUGGCAGUCUGGAGGGGGACUGGUUUCCUGCCACAUGGCCCGCUGAAAGCCGGCGGGAGUGGAAAGGAGAACACCUUUGCAGACUAUCUGUAUGGAAAACAGAGGAAAUUUGGAGAUAACUUGGAACACUCAAUUGAAAGAUGCUGAAGUCACUGCCCAAGCUCUCCUUCUCUUUCUGGUUCUCUACCAUGUGAUCAAGAGGAACCAGGUUGGAAGCAAAGAGCAAGCCUUCACCAGACCAAAUCUUCAGGUACCCCGAUCUUAGACCUCCUAGCCUUCAGAAGUGUGAUCAUUGGCCGCCUUCCAGCUGCAUUUUACUCCUUCACAUGGAGAAAGCCCUUCUUUUCCACCUACUCUUUCUUCCAUCCUGGACUCUGGGGAACCAGAAGUCAGCACCCUGGCAAACUGAUGAAGGACAGCAAAUAUCUCAAAGGCAAUCACCACUUCUGCUCCCUAUGGCAUGGGUGGAUGGAAGGAGAAAUUAGCACAAAAAAAAAUGUGCACACCCCAAGCUAAAAGUGACCUGGUACCUAACUUACAGGAAAACAGCCAGAAACCUGGGUAAGGCAGGCAAGAGCCUGUACCCCUGAACUCAUUGCUCCCAUCCUAUCUGCACUAACUCUGCUCCACCCUGGGCAUUUCCACACCUCUCCACUUUCACUUCAAACACCCACCAAAUGUUAGCCUCUCUGAAGCCCUUUCUGGCUCAAUUCCCACAUCAGCACAGAUCCCAUUCAUCUGGGAUCUCUUUGUUCAUACUCAGCCCACCUUGGUCCACCACUUGACACCAGCUGUGUGUGUGUGUGUGUGUGUGUGUGUGUGUGUGUGUGUGUCCAUGCCCUCCCAUUAGUGCAACUCUUGUAAGUAGAAUGACAAUUUCACUUUUGUAUGCCCCAGAACCUCACAGCAAACGCUCAACCAACAUUUGAACCUAUUUUGAGUUGCUCCUCUGCAUCUGAGCCAUUCAGAACCUGUUGUCUGGGACCUCUCCAUUGAUGUGAAGUUGCUCUGAAUUUAUCUGCUCCUGAACAGGAUGCUUCAGAACAAAUGGAGUUUGAUCAGUUGUACAAGAUGUCCAUAUUUACCAAGUACCAUGCCAAGAGCAUAAGAUAUUACAAAGAACAAAAUGGCAUGGGUGCUGCCCUCAAGAGACUACUAAUCCAAUAUUGGAAAGACAAGACACAACACACCUAGUACAACCAGGAGGGAAAGCUGGCAGUCUGUGGUUCACCUGCCUCCUAAAGAGAAGAGGAGCAGGGCCCAUUGGAGGCCUUUAUUUUUCUGUGCAUCCAGUUGGAGUCUGAUACUUGAUUUGAAGGAAGGAGUUGGGGAAGUCCACCAUGAAAAGUGAAAGCUACUUGUCUGUCUCCUUCAAAUGGUAGAAACUGGCUGGGGAGCAUCACUUAAUUGCCUGCUUUCUUUGGACCUUGUGGGUGUGUUGGGAGGAGCAGGCUGAGCAACAAGGGUUCAUGUGGCUCUCAAGAGGAAAGAGGCCUCAGCUUGCCUUUAAGCCGACAGAGCAGCAUGGUAGCUAGGAGGCUGCUGGGUGAUGAGGAACACUCAGAGCUGUACUCCCAGCCCCCUGGCCUCUCCAUUCUUGAUCUUAAUUCUGACCUGACCCUUGGUGGCACCUGAACUGUGGAACCAUGCUCUUUGAGUUUACUGGGCAUUAACACUGUGUGUUUGGAAGACAAAACACAGUAAAGACUUGUGUGUGCAGAGGAGAGCUGAUCUGAUACCAGGGGCAAGAGCAGGUCCCUUUCAAACAUGUGCUUUACGGCUUCCUCUCUACACUCUCUCUCACCUACGUGCUCUCUCUGCCUCUCUAUGGGGACUGGCCAUGGCGGUUAGCCAUUAUCCCUGUUCCUCUCCUCUUCUCUCUUACUCUCCCUACUCUGCCGGGCCCUUAUAAUAAACUAGUUAUUAUGUCUCAUGUCUCAGCAUUUCUCUUUUCUUCUUUUUAAACAAAAGAAUAACAUUUGGCGCCUGGACAUGGAAAGGCUCUGUCCUUGCACCUUCUCCCAAGGCCCGCUGGCGGGCACGUGGUAAGGCAAGGGUACCCUUACACUCGGAUCAACAACCCACACACUACAUCUCACCGGUAACUAAGGAUCUCUGGAACUCACUCAUCUGCUUGUUCGCUGCAAUCCGGUGAGAUACCCAUAACUUUUCCCAUGGGGCAGACCCAGCACUGCAUUUUGGAGUUCACUCUGGGUACAUUUUUCAGUUUCGGACUGCUGAGCCUCUUUCGGGCUUUCUGCCGGGUGCUCUCAGACAGAGCAAUCUGUGCCAUUUUUGGCCUUGCCCACGGGAAAUACAUUUUACGGGAUCUUUCAGUUACUGCCAGCGAGUAGGUAAAUGAGCAGAGUUCUGCCUCCCAGUGGGAACUUUCUUUCACCUGGGAAUGUCCCUCAUUGUUCUGUUUGUUCUAUCUCUGACUGUGUUUCUUCUUGGUUGGCAAUGUCUACUUGAGACGCUCUGAGAGUUUUUUGUGUUUGCUGGUUUUCAUUUUUCCACAUGAAUGAGGUUUGAAACUUUUCUGGCAAUUGAGAAUGUGCUUACGGGGCCACCAUCUCGGCCAUGUGGGCUAACCUGGGGGCCGCCAUCUUGGUCAUAUUGUUAGACCCCCGGAAAACUCAGAUAUCUAGGGUCCCAGGCCACGACCUCGGUCAGUCACCCCAAUCACCAGGCAGAUUCGAGAGCUUGCUGCAAACUGCAUGAGGCU